GCCGGGAUUACAGGCUUGAACCAUGGCACUCGGCCUGGAUUGAGAUUUUCUUAAUAGUCCUAGAUGCUCUUUGAAAUGUUCCACUGCUAUCUCUGGCAUGAUAUUAUAGGUGUUCCUGCCUGGCACACUGCAGAAACCUGAGGUUGGGAGGCUUGUUAGCUGAAACAUGUAUUGAUCUUAUAUGUAUGAAUCAUUUCCAGUCGGACUCACUAGCCUGAGAUUCCCUGGGGUGUGUGUGCACAUGCAAGCACACUUACAUGUGCAAGACUCAACCCCAAGUCUGAAUUACACACGAGUGACAAAGGGAAUGCGUCUCCAAUUCACCUCUAACUGCUAAGCUCUCUCUCUCCUGUUCUCUUUUUAUGCAGCACCCAUGGACCCUUCUAGCAGACAGCAACUUUUCUCUUUGACUAUAAAUUGAAGGCAAUUCAAUGUUUUACCCCUCAGAUCAGGGAUCAUACUGAAAAAUUCCUUCUGCACGAGCCAGUGUGAGCCUGGCAAGAGGCACAGGAGAUGGUCACCAAGCUUGAUAACGAAAAUAAAUUGUUUUGAAGAGAUCGUUAAAAUUAUGUUAGUAGGAAUUGAAUAUUCAAGGUUACAGAUUUAAUUAAUUAUGAGUGUUUCUUUAGAAUAAUGUAAUAAAUGUUUCCUCUGAGGUUUCUGGUUGAAGCACUGGGCCUCAUCUCAAGAAAGAUUUAAGAGCAUAAAGUAUUUUAAUUGUAUAGAUUGCAAGAGAGGGCAUUUAAAAUAUGCAGAGUAAUUGACACCUUCUCAAACCCCAGAUGCAACCCUAUUUCUAACUGAUAAGGUGAUAUCCUGGAGCCUCCAUACAAGAAGUAGUUUUGCCCAACAAAUGGGAGAAGCCCCUUUGACAGCGUGAAAUUCCAGUCACGGUGAUGUAGCUCUAAGGAAUCCCAGGUGAGCCCAUUCUCUCACAGCCUGAAAGCAGAACAUGCAGCAAUGAAAAUGUCCAAUGCAGCUAGGACUUUUGUCACUCCAUCUUUCUCUUUCUGCCUCAUCUGAAGGGUAAAUGACUUUGUGUUGUGUAAAAACAUUUCACACCCCCUGUAAGAAGUGGGAAUAAGGAGGCAUGGGUAGCAGCAGUGAAGAGGUUUGAAUGUCAUUCUUUCUCAUUUGAAUAACUACCUUAAGAGUCCCCUUCUGUAGGAGUUAAGACCUCAAGUUUUAUACAAAAGAGCCUUGGUCUGCAUGCGAUGUCCUCCCAGGCUUAGUUCACAUUUUAAGAAAACUUCAGGGUGAGUGUAAUUCUUACUAUAAAGGAAUGAACCAAUACUAGUUGAAUCUUAGGCACCCGAACAGGCAGUUUGAGAAAGUUGGGUAUGAUUUCCCUGGCUCCUUUCAAGUCACACCACAAGCAACUGCCUGGCACACAAGACAGACCUCUGUGCAUACAGAUGCAUGUGUGGUGUGUAGUGGGAAGUUUGCUUUGGCUGGUCGUGGAGGGAUCCAUUUGUCUGGGGAGGUCUGGACAGCCAGUGGAGGCACUGCCUCCCUUGCCAUCUUAGCAGCUUUAAGAGGGUGGAGUAUUUUUCUUUGAGGCUAAGGUUGGCACAGAUAACUUCCUCACCGAAAUUUUCUGCCAGACUGAGUUUGGUGGGUUUUUUUUGGUUUGUUUUUUUGUUUUUUUGUUUUUUUUUCAUUAUUCCACCCACCCCUCACCCCACCCUCCAAUCUUUGGUUGUUUCUGGCUUUUUGGCAUCUGUUCCCUGGGUCGUAUUUUUUCCUUCCUGAUGCAGUGGAUGCAAAGAUACGCUUUCUCUUGGGUGAAAUUUACAAGCACAUUUUCCUCCUUGACAGAAACAAAGAGCCACAAAGAUUUCCUAGGGAGAGAAAAAAGCUUCCAGAUGCAGGGCUCCAAAUGUGAGGGUUUUUUUCCCUUUGGCAUUUUUUAAGCUUAAUAAUUACACUGGACAUAUUUAUUCAGAAGAAGGCCCACAGUUUUCAUCCUAACAGGGACUUCAUUAAAAUUUCCAAGUAACAAAUACAUCUUUUCUCUGAUGCCUGGGUUCCAUGCCAUUUACCUCUAUCUUAAAGAAGUUACCUCUGAGACCUUGAGUUUCAACUCUGACUAGAGAUGCAAGGCGAUAGGGAAAGGUCCUUUUUUCCUCUCUUUUUUCUUAGCCAUGGUGCAGAAUAAUAAAAGAAAAGGAAUUCCUAAACUCUUGAACUGUUAGCAAACUUCUUUUAAUUAUCUCUAGUUAAAGGGCAACUGAGAAGACAAUUAUAAAUGUCAAGAAGAUUGUUCAACAAACUUUUAUAACCCACAGCACACUUUUAUAUUUUUAAAAGUGAUUAAAGCGUUCUAAUUGGUAUCAUUUUCUAUUUCAGAAUAGUACUUUCCAAGACUUAAAAAAAUGCUUCAGUUUAUAAGACCUGUAAUCUAAAAUUUUCACUAACCAUAAUCAGAAUAAUGUAUGGGAAAUACUUAGUUCAUAUAUGGAAAAUCAUCCACAUUUUAAAAAAAAGUUUUGAAGAAACUUUUUAAAAAGUUGUAGCUACUUAUGUUUGAUUAGAAAAACAUUUCUCUUGUGUGUGUUGGUAAAACAGACUAAGUUCUAAGAAAUCUUUAUGGCUAUAUAUCUUACAUCUAUUGAUAAGCAAGCAUGAAGAUACUUAAUUCAGGUAAAGGGCUUUAGCCCAUUUUUAUUCUAAUGGGAAUAAUACUAAUGUGUAUAUGAAUCCAUUUUUGCUGCAGUUGGGCUGGGGCCAGAAUGAUAUUCUGUAUUUCUAACGAGCUCCCAGGAGAUGCCAAUGUUGCCAUCCUUGGACCACGCUGAGUAGCGAGAAUGCAGAGGACAGCAUGUCUACCUUUUCCUGAGCCUCCUUUCAAAGGAUGAGAUACGGGAAUACUGGUAUCACACAGCCCCGAGAAUCCUGAGGUGGGAGCAGGGGAGGCUGAACCCUCUAGAUGUACCCUGAGUAUGUUUUUACAGUGGGUUCAAGUAUUUUAAUCUGCUGUUCAAAAAAUACAUGAAUUCGUCCUCAGUUCAAAGCCAUAGGCUAGCUACUGUAUGAUGUGACACAAUUCUGUAUAACAUAAAUACAGUAAUCUCAUUAAAUUUAACAUCUGUGCCCUAAUCAUCACCUCUUUAAGGACUAAAAUAUUCUCCAGUGUUGUUGCUUUCUCCCCACUGUUUGAGGGAAAAAAAGUAAACCUAUAGAAAAGUUGAAAGAAUUACAUGACAACUUUAAACCCUUCCCCAGAUUUACCAAUUAUUAACAUGCUGCUGUGCUUUCUGUCUCUCUCCUUACCCAUCUAUGUGUGUAUAUAUAUGUGUGUAUGAUAAAUAUUUAUUUAGUUUAUUUUCAUGUUUUUAUCUGAAUAAUUUAAAAAUAAAUUGCAGCUCUCCAUUGCUUUUUAUCAUGUUAUCAUUUGUUUCUGUUAACAAGUUCGGCUGCAAACUGAAUUGCUGACUGAGAGUCAUGUGUGUGUGCAGGAAACCAAGGUGGCUUGGAGUUUCCCAGACUUUUUAGGUUCACGUUUACAGAGGAGAAAGCAAAUGGUGGAAACUCUUGUUUCUCUUUAAAAAUCUUUGACAGUUCAUCCUUAUGUUCUACCCAGUUACCUCACUCCACACUGCCUUUAUGAUCCCACUAGUGACCACCAAAGAGAGGGAAUCUAAGAGAGAAAGCAGAGAAUAACUUAUUCUGCUAAACCCAACACAAAUGAAAGGUAAAUAUCUAGAAGAUAACCUGCUGGAUCAUGAGGAGAUAGAGAUUGCAUCUGACUGGGACUAAGCAACCCUCGGAAGCACCAAACCUCACCUCCCUUCUCAACACCUGACUCCGGCCUAGGGCCUUCCCACUGAGGUAGAAAUUCUUAUGGACUGGAAUCUUCCUCAAGGCUUACUUUGUUCCUGGGAUGCAGUGGUGCAUAGAAGAUAGGGCAUUGACUCACUCAGACCUGGCUUGCCCAGCAUGCAUUGCAACAAUGAUGUGCAAGUUAUUAAAGACAUGAGUGAAUUCGUAAGUAUAGUGUAAUUUGAGAUUUCCUAUGCAAGGUAUUCUAGAAAUGCCAAGUAUCUUGUUUACAACAAACCAAAAACUGAAAUGUUGGUUGUCAUGUUCACUACCACAUAGAAAAUACACAGUGAAAGACUUUCACAUUUUCAGUAAAA